GGGAUCCUGUUAAAAUGCAGAUUCUGAUUCAGUAGGUCUUGGAUGGAGCCCAAGAUUCUGCAUUUCUGACAAGUUC
ensembl:miRNA